GAUGAACGCUGGCGGCGUGCCUAAUACAUGCAAGUCGAACGCUUCACAUUUGUGAAGAGUGGCGAACGGGUGAGUAAUACAUAAGUAACCUGGCAUCUACAGGGGGAUAACUGAUGGAAACGUCAGCUAAGACCGCAUAGGUGUAGAGAUCGCAUGAACUCUAUAUGAAAAGUGCUACGGGACUGGUAGAUGAUGGACUUAUGGCGCAUUAGCUAGUUGGUAGGGUAACGGCCUACCAAGGCGACGAUGCGUAGCCGACCUGAGAGGGUGACCGGCCACACUGGGACUGAGACACGGCCCAGACUCCUACGGGAGGCAGCAGUAGGGAAUUUUCGGCAAUGGGGGAAACCCUGACCGAUCAACGCCGCGUGAAGGAAGAAGUAAUUCGUUAUGUAAACUUCUGUCAUAGAGGAAGAACGGUGGAUAUAGGGAAUGAUAUCCAAGUGACGGUACUCUAUAAGAAAGCCACGGCUAACUACGUGCCAGCAGCCGCGGUAAUACGUAGGUGGCGAGCGUUAUCCGGAAUUAUUGGGCGUAAAGAGGGAGCAGGCGGCACUAAGGGUCUGUGGUGAAAGAUCGAAGCUUAACUUCGGUAAGCCAUGGAAACCGUAGAGCUAGAGUGUGUGAGAGGAUCGUGGAAUUCCAUGUGUAGUGGUGAAAUGCGUAGAUAUAUGGAGGAACACCAGUGGCGAAGGCGACGAUCUGGCGCAUAACUGACGCUCAGUCCCGAAAGCGUGGGGAGCAAAUAGGAUUAGAUACCCUAGUAGUCCACGCCGUAAACGAUGAGUACUAAGUGUUGGGUGUCAAAGCUCAGUGCUGCAGUUAACGCAAUAAGUACUCCGCCUGAGUAGUACGUUCGCAAGAAUGAAACUCAAAGGAAUUGACGGGGGCCCGCACAAGCGGUGGAGCAUGUGGUUUAAUUCGAAGCAACGCGAAGAACCUUACCAGGUCUUGACAUCGAUCUAAAGGCUCCAGAGAUGGAGAGAUAGCUAUAGAGAAGACAGGUGGUGCAUGGUUGUCGUCAGCUCGUGUCGUGAGAUGUUGGGUUAAGUCCCGCAACGAGCGCAACCCCUGUUGCCAGUUGCCAGCAUUAAGUUGGGGACUCUGGCGAGACUGCCGGUGACAAGCCGGAGGAAGGCGGGGAUGACGUCAAAUCAUCAUGCCCCUUAUGACCUGGGCUACACACGUGCUACAAUGGACAGAGCAGAGGGAAGCGAAGCCGCGAGGUGGAGCGAAACCCAUAAAACUGUUCUCAGUUCGGACUGCAGUCUGCAACUCGACUGCACGAAGAUGGAAUCGCUAGUAAUCGCGAAUCAGCAUGUCGCGGUGAAUACGUUCUCGGGCCU
rnacentral:rRNA from 1 species